rnacentral:rRNA from 1 species
CCCUUAGAUGUCCUGGGCCGCACGCGCGCUACACUGACACGUUCAACAAGUUCCACCUUGGUCGAGAGGCCUGGGUAAUCUUUUGAACGCGUGUCGUGAUAGGGAUAGAUUAUUGCAAUUAUUAAUCUUGAACGAGGAAUUCCUAGUAAACGCGAUUCAUCAGAUCGCAUUGAUUACGUCCCUGCCCUUUGUACACACCGCCCGUCGCACCUACCGAUUGAGUGAUUCGGUGAAGAUUCCGGACUGUGUCUGUACUCCCUCGGGAGUCGGACGCGGGAAGCUAUCUAAACCUCAUCACUUAGAGGAAGGUGAAGUCGUAACA